AAGCCGCCGCCAGUUGCACCGCCAUCGUGCCUUGACUCGCCACCGUUGAUCUCGUCGCAGGCCACUGCCGCCGGAGCUCAUGUCACCGCCGUUGAGCACCAUGAAGAACAGAGAGCGUGCUCGAUGAGUGAGAAGGGGUGGAGGCUGGGUUUUGUCGCUGUAUUGCUACCUCUGCCGUGCCCUGCUGAGGCUUCUAGAGCCGCUGCCAUCACUACUGGAACGGGCUGGAGCUCGUCGCGAAAAGAGAGAGGCUAAGACUGGCACCGUCUUGCCUGGGUUGCUACCAUCGAUUUGGAGUUGCCAUAAAAGUGGCUGUUUCACUUUUAGUAUUCAUCCUUCGGUGGUUGGAGUUGCUGCGAGUUGGGGCCACUAGAAGAGUGUUGCUGUUGCCGGAACCACCACCAGGACUGCCGCUUCAUGGUUCAGUCACUUCUUAUUUACGAGUUGAUGUGGUUACUGCAAAAGUGAGCAAAGCUGUGGUUCAAGCUGCUGGUGAUUUCGGGAUGAGGCGGAAAGGACUCUGUGAGACGUUUGGGUUAUGGAAUUUGCGUUUUAAGGAUUAGGGCGCAGAAGUCACGAGAAGUUUAUUUAGUUGUUGAGGUGCUCUGUAUUGUUUUAGUUAUGGUUUAUUGUACCCUCGCCUUCAUCUUGAUAUAAUCUGUAAGAGGGUUAGGAAUUGUAUUGAUUAUUGCUUGUAA